rnacentral:rRNA from 1 species
UAAGGAAUAUUGGUCAAUGGACGGAAGUCUGAACCAGCCAUGCCGCGUGCAGGAAGACGGCCCUACGGGUUGUAAACUGCUUUUGUACGGGAAUAAACCCAGAUACGUGUAUCUGGCUGAAUGUACUGUAAGAAUAAGGAUCGGCUAACUCCGUGCCAGCAGCCGCGGUAAUACGGAGGAUCCGAGCGUUAUCCGGAUUUAUUGGGUUUAAAGGGUGCGUAGGCGGCCUGUUAAGUCAGGGGUGAAAGACGGUAGCUCAACUAUCGCAGUGCCCUUGAUACUGAUGGGCUUGAAUGUACUAGAGGUAGGCGGAAUGUGACAAGUAGCGGUGAAAUGCAUAGAUAUGUCACAGAACACCAAUUGCGAAGGCAGCUUACUAUGGUAUGAUUGACGCUGAGGCACGAAAGCGUGGGGAUCAAACA